rnacentral:rRNA from 1 species
UAGGGAAUCUUCCACAAUGGGCGCAAGCCUGAUGGAGCAACGCCGCGUGAGUGAAGAAGGUUUUCGGAUCGUAAAGCUCUGUUGUAAGAGAAGAACGUGUGUGAGAGUGGAAAGUUCACACAGUGACGGUAACUUACCAGAAAGGGGCGGCUAACUACGCGCCAG